rnacentral:rRNA from 1 species
UACGUAGGUGGCAAGCGUUGUGCGGAUUUACUGGGCGUAAAGGGCGUGCAGGCGGUCUGUUAAGUUCGGGGUGAAAGCUCCCGGCUCAACUGGGAGAGGUCCUUGGAUACUGGCAGACUUGAGGGAGGUAGAGGAGAGUGGAAUUCCCGGUGUAGUGGUGAUAUGCGUAGAUAUCGGGAGGAACACCAGUGGCGAAGGCGGCUCUCUGGGCCUUUCCUGACGCUGAGACGCGAAAGCGUGGGGAGCGAACCGG